CUCAAUAGAUGCAAAGAAGAAGGAAUAACAAAGUUGAGUAUUCAUUCAAAAUAUAGAUUUUCAAAUUGCUGUUCUGUCUAACAGCUUAAGCUGUCAUCUCUGUUCUUUCCAGGUGGCUAAACUAUGCUGGAAUUGUCAGAACUCCAACAACAGUGAAACAGAAGACAGUCUUCAGAAAAUUUUGGGCACUAGAUAUAUGAACCAACACCUUCCCUCCUCUGGGAAAAAUUGGAGUUAAGAAAUAUCUUCCUAAUAUUAUGGUGCUGUACUAGGGGGAUGGAUUUUGGUGAGAGCAUGUCCCAUAUCUCUGACCAGCUUUGGUGAAUAAGAUUUAACUGGGGUGCAGGAGCCUUUCAAUUGUUUAAAAGUUUCUGAAUUUCUUAGUAAAGGAAUUUGUCUACAAAUUAUUGCAAAUUAUUAUAGGUGUGUUUGGGUGGUUGGCUUCCGGCUUUUCAAUUUUGCUGAUGUUAGAGCAUAAUCCAUUAUUUUUUUCCCCAUAUUUCUAUUGGUGCAUUAGAUCUGUACAUACUGGUAUAAUUUAUUGCUACAUAUUCACACAUACUAAAUGAGUAUAAUUUGAUUAAUAUCAUUCCUUAGAAUUUCCCAUUUCCUCCUGUCCUUCCAUCUCUGGUCCCUUUCCUCUAUACUACUCAUCUCCUUUUGAUUUUCAUGAAAUCCUCCCACACCUUCUUUUCCUUUUUCUUCUCUGGAUUCCACUAAUGAGAGAAAACACAUUACCCUUAACCUUCUGAGUUUGGCUUAUUGCACCCAACCGUGUUCUCAAGUUCCAUCCAUUCCUGCAAAUGACAUAAUUUCAUUUUUCCUUAUGGCUGAAUAAAACUCUAUUUGGUAUAAAUACCAUAUUUCUUUAUCCAUUCAUGUGUAGAUGGACACCAAGGCUGGUUCCAUAGUUUGGCUAUUGUGAAUUGUGCUAUUAUAAACAUGGGUAGAGCAUAAUACAUUCUUGACAAAAAAAAAAAAUUCAGUGCCUCUUACCAUCAUCACCUUUAGGGAGUUGAAUUAGCUUUUAGUAGUCAAGGUCAAUAAAGGAUUUUUUAAAGUGGCCGAGGUGGGAAGAAGAUGAUGAGGCAGAAAAUGUGCCUCUCCUCCACACCAACACAUCUUUUUCCUCUUCCUCUUGAGUUUUUUUCUUAAAUUGGAAGUUCUCCAUCAAGAGGUCUGUGCUUAUAAUAAAUGUCAUAGAGCAAAUUUGACAAGGAAGAAUACCUUUUUAAUUUACAUUUUGAAUUCAAAGAUCCAGUGAGAGAGCUGGCAUGGUUAUUUGGAGCUGCCUCCAUAUUCCUUUUUUUUUUUAAUAGCU
rnacentral:lncRNA from 1 species